UCGACCUUCCGAUGAUGAUAUUCACCGGCAUGUCUGCUGAUUUUUGAUCCCCAAACAGAGGUUAACCUAAAAUUUAUCGUUUAGAACUUUUCCUUUGCAGAGCUUUCCCCAUUAAUUUUUCUACAGAGAGAAUCCUUUUUUAUGUUUCCUCAACCCCCUAGUUGAUAUAUUUUUGACCCCCGAGUCAAUGUUUUAUCUUUAUUUUCUCGACCCCCGAGUCAAUGUUGUCUCUAUUUUCUCGAUCCCUGAAUCGAUGUUGUUUUAAUAUGUUCUCGACCCCC
rnacentral:lncRNA from 1 species